CGCCUCUUGCAAAACCGAAGAAUAAGAGGUCCCGCCUGCCCUGUGACUAUAUGUUUAACGGCCGCGGUAUUUUGACCGUGCGAAGGUAGCGUAAUCACUUGUCUUUUAAAUGGAGACCCGUAUGAAUGGCACGACGAGGGCUUAACUGUCUCCUUUCUCAAGUCAAUGAAAUUGAUCUCCCCGUGCAGAAGCGGGGAUAACACCAUAAGACGAGAAGACCCUAUGGAGCUUUAGACACAAGGCAGAUCAUGUUAAACACCCCUAAAUAAAGGACUAAACCCCCUGAACUCCUGCCCUAAUGUCUUUGGUUGGGGCGACCACGAGGAAAAAGAACCCGCGUGCGGACUGGGGGUUUACCCCUAUUACCAAGAGCUCCCGCUCUAAUGAUCAGAAUUUCUGACCAAACAGAUCCGGCAUAGCCGAUCAACGGACCGAGUUACCCUAGGGAUAACAGCGCAAUCCUCUCUAAGAGUCCAUAUCGACGAGGGGGUUUACGACCUCGAUGUUGGAUCAGGACAUCCUAAUGGUGCAGCCGCUAUUAAGGGUUCGUUUGUUCAACGAUUAAAGUCCU
rnacentral:rRNA from 1 species